UCAGCACCUGCGGCUGGGUGAGUGGAGCUCUUCAGUCAUCUGGUUCUUACACACAGGUCCCUCAACAGACCAGAUCCAAAGUCCGGCUACAUAGUCACUGAACAUGGAUUUAGGGGAAGCGGAAGAUGAAAUUCAGUUUCUGCCAACUAGAGAUGAGCUGGUAUUGAGGUGUUGCUCAUCAGCAGAAACUGUGUUUAACUGCAGAAGGAUUCAGUGACCGUUUGUCUUAUCUUGAGUCCAACUCAAAGAAUGUUCCCACAGACAUUUCUGUAUGUGUGUUUGUUCUUGACCAGUGUCUGUUGGUCCGAGCACUGCAGGAGAUGUUGGCCAACCACGAAGACCAGUAUGCAGGGGUAUGUUCUGAAAUGGGGAAGGACCAUGAGGUCAGACAGGGAGAUAUUAGAGCACUGAAGAACAGACAAAAUCUCUUCCAAGAUGAGCACUGAAGGGUACCAUCCCUCCCCAACAGGGGGUCACGCUGGGGGUCGAACAGUGUACGAGACGACCUCUGCUCUUAUGGCUUUGAUGGACUCCAGCUCUGGACAGGACGUAGGUCAGAGGGUCACCUCACCCAAUCAGCACUUGCUAAGGGAGGAUGAUGUCAUUAGUUGCUGUCUUGACCUUAGUUCAACCUGCAUCUCCUUCCGGGUCAAUGGACAGCCAGUUCAAAGCAUGCUGGAGAACUUCUAUGUGGAUGGACUGCUGUUUCCAGUGGUCAGCUUCUCAGCGGGAGUGCAGUGUUACCUAUGAAUAGAUUUUGAUUUUGCAUGUUGUGUUACUUGUAGGUUUGUUUGCUCACGAUUCAUCACACAAUUAAAAAUAUGCUCUGAUUCCCCAAUUCUACCUCAUUUUGUUUUAAAUGAAUCUCCCUAAAUCUGACCUGUACAUCCUAAAACAGCUUAAUAGUGAUUUGUUUUGUAUUUUUUCAUCAGGGUGCAUGUGAUGUUUGGAGGUCAACAGGGGGAGUUUAGGUUUCUUCCUCCAGCUGGCUUAUCUCUAUGCGCUGAAGCUAUCCUCCCCAAAAUCCGCUGCAAGCUGGAGCUGUUUCACGAAAUCACACUGAAAGUCAAUGUGACUUCUUAGGCCCUGUUGUACCUAUAAGCCCAGUGACCUUUAUCCCCAUUCCAGUGGAUUCCAGCGAAGUACUCAUUCAAUUUUAAGUUGAAUAUCCUCCACAGCUGGAGCAGAUCAGAGAAAGAUUAGCAGAAAACCUCCAUGAACUCUGGCUUACUGACAAAAUAGAGCAGGGCUGGACCUACGGACCUGUUAAAGAUGAGAGCAAAAAAGUACACUCGUGUCUAGUUGAGUUUUCCAAACUUCCAAAUCAGGAGUGAAUUCAUAACCUCCAGUCAUGUAAGGAUAUCCUCAGGAUGUAAUGUAUAAGAGAAGUACCCAAUUAGUGCCAUUUUGCCUGUUGGAUGAGAAGAUCAAACAGGUUUGGAUAUACUGUGGAACCGCUGGAGCAGGAACAACGCUGAUAAAAGUUCAUGAGAGUGUCAAGCGUAGCAGCUGUUACAUGGUGUGUGCAGCAGAGGGCAGUAGUUUGUCCCAUAGUCACAAUACCAGUGGCCUGAUGUCUGGUUGAAACGGCAACAGGGCUCCUGACAUUUACCAUGGCAAGGAGCUUGCAACAUACAGGUACUACCAGGUGGAACCUGGAACCAAGCUCUUCCCUGCUUUAUUUGCUAAAGCAACCAGUUCAAAUCCAUACCA